GAAGGGGUCAGCUGAAGUGGUAGAGUGCAUGCUCAGCACGCAUGAGGUCCUGGGUUCAAUCCCCAGUACCUCCU
rnacentral:tRNA from 1 species